rnacentral:rRNA from 1 species
GAUGAACGCUAGCUACAGGCUUAACACAUGCAAGUCGAGGGGCAGCAUGAGGUCAGCUUGCUGACUUUGAUGGCGACCGGCGCACGGGUGAGUAACGCGUAUCCAACCUUCCCGCGACUGGGGGAUAACCUUGCGAAAGUAAGACUAAUACCCCAUGGUUUCCGAGGCGGACAUCCAAUUUGGAAUAAAGAUUCAUCGGUUGUGGAUGGGGAUGCGUCUGAUUAGCUUGUUGGCGGGGUAACGGCCCACCAAGGCGACGAGAAGUAGGGGUUCUGAGACGAAGGUCCCCCACAGUGGAACUGAGACACGGUCCAAACUCCUACGGGAGGCAGCAGUGAGGAAUAUUGGUCAAUGGACGAGAGUCUGAACCAGCCAAGUAGCGUGCAGGAUGACGGCCCUAUGGGUUGUAAACUGCUUUUAUACGGGAAUAAAGUCAACCACGUGUGGUUGUUUGUAUGUACCGUAUGAAUAAGGACCGGCUAAUUCCGUGCCAGCAGCCGCAGUAAUAC